rnacentral:rRNA from 1 species
UUUGUACAAUAAAAAAUUAAACUUCAGGUGAAGAUGCCUGAAUCAUAUUGAAAGACAAGAAGACCCUAUAGAGUUUUAGUAAACUAACCCACCUCUCGUGAAAUAACUUUUGUUGGGGCGACAAGGAUUAAUAAAACCAUCCUAAAUAAACCGAAUACACCCUUCUAUGAUAUGACCCUUUUUAAAGAUCGCAGGAUAAACUACCUUAGGGAUAACAGGCUAAUCUCCUUUUAGAGUCCUAAUCGAAAAGGAGGAUUGGCACCUCGAUGUUGGCUUAGAGAACCCUUCUACUGCAACAGGUAUAAAGGAUAGUUUGUUCAACUAAUAACCCUCU